UCUCAAAGCCCUGGAGCUGACCAAUAGUGGCCCAGAGCUCUGCAUGAACUAAAUGCUCACCCAAGUGUCUUCAAAAGGGUGGCAUGGAGAGAGCACACCAUAGAGAAAAUGUCUGUAUUGCUCUUUCCCAGUGCCUGCGGUGGGUGUGGGACAUGUUGGGCCGUCCUGUGGCUGUUGCUGGAGUCUCCUUUUUGCUUCGGCUGGGCCAGGAGCUCUUGGAGGGUAGAUGCAAUUUUCCCACCAGCUGGGUUCUUAGCACCAGCUACAGUACUGGGAUUGUGGAUCCCUAGGGCCAGGUGGAUAAGACUGGGGCAGGAGAUAAAUCACAGGACGUGGGAGAAAGAGACAGAGGGAGCUGUUGGAGAAGAAAGGUUGCUCACUUUAAAUAGCCAUGCUUUUAGGGAAUAGGGGAAAGUCUUUUGACUGAGUUGAGGCUUGUGACAGUGGCAGUGACAGUAACAGUGACAGUGACGGAUAAGAACAUUUUGACUGGAUGAAGCAAAAGCGAAAAAAAAAAAC
rnacentral:lncRNA from 1 species